rnacentral:rRNA from 1 species
GGCGGACGGGUGAGUAACACGUAUGCAAUUUGCCUUUAACUGGAGGAUAGCUUCGGGAAACCGUAAUUAAUACUCCAUAGUAUUCAAAAGACGCAUGUUUUUUGAAUUAAAGCUCCGGCGGUUAAAGAUAAGCAUGCGGGACAUUAGCUAGUUGGUAAGGUAACGGCUUACCAAGGCGACGAUGUCUAGGGGGUUUGAGAGGAUGAUCCCCCACACUGGUACUGAGACACGGACCAGACUCCUACGGGAGGCAGCAGUGAGGAAUAUUGGGCAAUGGGCGCAAGCCUGACCCAGCCAUGCCGCGUGCAGGAUGAAGGUCCUAUGGAUCGUAAACUGCUUUUGUAUGGGAAGAACUUCCCGCAUUCGUGCGGGAUUGACGGUACUAUACGAAUAAGGACCGGCUAACUCCGUGCCAGCAGCCGCGGUAAUACGGAGGGUCCAAGCGUUAUCCGGAUUCACUGGGUUUAAAGGGUGCGUAGGUGGAACGAUAAGUCGAUGGUGAAAGCCUACAGCUUAACUGUAGAAUUGCCAUUGAUACUGUUGUUCUUGAGUAUAGUCGGGGGAAGUGGAAUGCGUAAUGUAGCGGUGAAAUGCAUAGAUAUUACGCAGAACACCGAUCGCGAAAGCAGCUUCCUAGGCUAUUACUGACACUGAGGCACGAAAGCGUGGGGAGCGAACAGGAUUAGAUACCCUGGUAGUCCACGCCGUAAACGAUGCUCACUCGCUGUUGGCGAUAUAUUGUCAGCAGUUAAGCUAAAGCAUUAAGUGAGCCACCUGGGAAGUACGUCCGCAAGGAUGAAACUCAAAGGAAUUGACGGGGGCCCGCACAACCGGUGGAACAUGUGGUUCAAUUCGAUGAUACGCGAGGAACCUUACCUGGGCUUAAAUGUAGUUUGACUUCCGCCGAAAGGCGGUUUUCCUUCGGGACAAAUUACAAGGUGCUGCACGGCUGUCGUCAGCUCGUGCCGUGAGGU